AAGCUGUGCUCUCUUUAUUAUGAUAAGAUCAUAAAUAAUAUUUAUUUUAAUCUGAAAUUAUGCCAAUAUAUGUUUUGGUCUAAGAUUACGCCACUGUAAUAUUCUAGAACUCAAGAGGUAGCCAACAUUAGAAAGUAUCAAAUUUUUCAAAGCAUAAUUUUUUUACUACUUAUAGCAUCACUACAAAUUGUUAUGUAUCGUAACAGUAGUCCGGAUUGAGUUGAUUUUAAUUUAUUACAUAAUUGUAUUAUAAUUAAUAGAUUGAUUUAUUAAAAAUUAAUAAUUACAACCAAUUACGCAUUAAUUUUCAGGUGACCUUUGGGAGCCCAUCUGAAGGAGAAUUACAGAAAGGUGACAUAAUCCUACGAAUAAGAGACACUGAUGCAACACGUUUAUCACAUAAAGGAGCCACCGAUCUUAUCUCAAAAGCUGGCAGCACAUUAAAAAUUGUAGUUGCCAGAAAUGCUUCUGGCAUGCAAAUACCUGCAUCACCCACACCUCAACUUUCAACCAUGCCAUCUGGAGGAAAUCCAUUUAUUUACAAACCACUGCCAACAACAAAUUUCGCAGCACAAAGGCAAAGGAGAUCUUCGGUAGAAUCAUUCACCAGCACAACCAGUA